rnacentral:rRNA from 1 species
UACGUAGGGUGCAAGCGUUAAUCGGAAUUACUGGGCGUAAAGCGUGCGUAGGUGGUUUCUUAAGUCCGUUGUGAAAGCCCCUGGGCUCAACCUGGGAACUGCAGUGGAUACUGGGAGGCUAGAGUGUGGUCAGAGGAUGGUGGAAUUCCCGGUGUAGCGGUGAAAUGCGUAGAGAUCGGGGAGGAACAUCAGUGGCGAAGGCGGCCAUCUGGGACAACACUGACGCUGAGGCACGAAAGCGUGGGGAGCAAACAGG